GCGAAUAGCUCAGUAACACGUGGCCAAACUACCCUUCGGAGCGCGAUCCUCGGGAAACUGAGGCUAAUAGCGCAUCCCACACUCGGCCUGGAAUGGCGAGUGUGGCAAACGCUCCGGCGCCGAAGGAUGUGGCUGCGGCCGAUUAGGUAGACGGUGGGGUAACGGCCCACCGUGCCGAUAAUCGGUACGGGUCAUGAGAGUGAGAGCCCGGAGACGGACUCUGAGACACGAGUCCGGGCCCUACGGGGCGCAGCAGGCGCGAAACCUUUACACUGCACGACAGUGCGAUAGGGGGACACCGAGUGCGAGGGCAUAGAGCCCUCGCUUUUGUAGACCGUAAGGAGGUCUACGAAUAAGGGCUGGGCAAGACCGGUGCCAGCCGCCGCGGUAACACCGGCAGCCCGAGUGAUGGCCGAUAUUAUUGGGCCUAAAGCGUCCGUAGCUGGCCGCGCAAGUUCGUCGGGAAAUCCACUCGCUUAACGAGUGGGCGUCCGGCGAAAACUGUGCGGCUUGGGACCGGAAGAUCCAAGGGGUACGUCCGGGGUAGGAGUGAAAUCCCGUAAUCCUGGACGGACCACCGAUGGCGAAAGCACCUUGGAAGGACGGAUCCGACAGUGAGGGACGAAAGCUGGGGUCUCGAACCGGAUUAGAUACCCGGGUAGUCCUAGCUGUAAACGAUGCUCGCUAGGUGUGGCGCAGGCUACGAGCCUGCGCUGUGCCGUAGGGAAGCCGUGAAGCGAGCCGCCUGGGAAGUACGUCUGCAAGGAUGAAACUUAA
rnacentral:rRNA from 1 species